AGCCCAUCUCUCUUAACGCAGGUUGAGAGAGGAGGCUCGCUUCCUUCUCUGGCAAGGCCAAUUUGGAUGCAGUGUUGUCACCAAGCACAAAGCAACUCCAGAUGAAGUUGAAAUCCAGUUGGAUGCAGUGUCUUCUCUUUUCGUUUUUCCCUUCCUGUCUGUUACAUUAGUGAGUCUGGCUUAAACAGGUAGAUUAAUGAAGUGCUAUAGAAGAAAAAUGAUCCCCAUGUGUAGUAAAGUCAGCAUCGUAUACCAGUUUCGUAUUUGCCGCAGAGCAUUACGUAUCAUCAAAACCUGUUUAUACCAGAGUAUUUCUUAAAGCCAUCCUAUAACAAAACAUAUGAUUAAUUCAAAAAAUGAAGCUCGAAACUAUCCCUAAAAGCUCGAAACUGAUCACGUCGCUGAAGAUAGCUUUAUAGAUGAUUUGAACAUAGCUGAGAUGACCGUACUGUUUUUGUUUAGAUAAACCUGGUGCUACAUCCAAGAAAUUGGUCUAUUCGCUACCAAAUGUGAAUUUCAUGUUAUUUGUGAUGUCCAGGCCGACGUAGCGUCUGAUAGGGCCUAAGGAUUUUCUAGACAAGGGAAUAUACUGGCUCCAGAACUUGCUGACGAAGUUGCAGUCUUUUACAGAGACUUUUGAUUCUAAUGGCCGCUGGUUCAGCAUGGGAGAGUGCGAUUUAUUUUUGGAGAAAAAACUAGAAUGCUUGAGGGUCUUGAAGUAUGACAUUGAAGCAGCAUGUUUAUUAAAGCAAGGUCAAGGACCUGAAAAGGUCUGGACUCUGACAUGCUCAUCCAGUAUUUUUAUUUUAUCUUAUUACCACUUUACCAAAGCUGUGCUGUUUUUUCAGUAUUUGUAGCUAUAUUACUUGCUGUGAUACUUCAACAUGUAAUUAGACUUCUUUGUUUUCGGGGCCACAGUAGAACUGCAGAAUUGAAUUCUCAGGACGUGCUGGAGCAAUUGACAGCACAACAACAAUUGUUAUAUCGACUUAUUGGUUGUCGGGUAAUUCUCUCUUAUCCUUGUAGCAGAUAAGCUGGUUUAGUGAAAUAAACUGAUUUCUAUAGUCAUAUUUAGUUUUUUUGGCCCAAGGCUCGGUGCCAAUACUGCAAUAAAUUGUUCUACCCCAACAAGAUGAAGGUGCACUUGAUGUAUCACUGUGGGCCUAAUGCUAAACGCACAGAAGCUCAGGCUAAGCAGCAGAGCAAGAGGAAGUGGGACAGCAGCAAGGAAAAGGUGAAGGAGAAGAGGAGGGUUCAUAAGAAGGGUGAUGAGGCGAAUAAGGAUUUUCAGGAAUUGGCUGAUGAACUGGGCAGACAGUUAAGGGGCCAAUCUCCUCUGCAUUCUAUGCGGUGGGAGCGUGUUAUCC
rnacentral:lncRNA from 1 species